rnacentral:rRNA from 1 species
GACGAACGCUGGCGGCGUGCUUAACACAUGCAAGUCGAACGGAGCUAUUUAUUUCGGUAAAUCGCUUAGUGGCAAACGGGUGAGUAACGCGUAGGCAACCUGCCCUCAGGAUGGGGACAACGGCUCGAAAGAGCCGCUAAUACCGAAUGACGUAACUCUUCCACAUGGAAGAGAUACUAAAGAUGGGUCAAACCAUCGCCUAAGGAUGGGCCUGCGUCUGAUUAGCCAGUUGGUGAGGUAACGGCUCACCAAAGCGACGAUCAGUAGCCGGUCUGAGAGGAUGAACGGCCACAAUGGGACUGAGACACGGCCCAUACUCCUACGGGAGGCAGCAGUGGGGAAUCUUCCGCAAUGGGCGAAAGCCUGACGGAGCAACGCCGCGUGAGUGAAGAAGGUCUUCGGAUCGUAAAGCUCUGUUGUCGGGGACGAAAGAGUAGACGAGGAAAUGCGUUUACUAGGACGGUAC